GAUGAACGCUGGCGGCGUGCCUAAUACAUGCAAGUCGAGCGAACGGACGAGAAGCUUGCUUCUCUGAUGUUAGCGGCGGAUGGGUGAGUAACACGUGGAUAACCUACCUAUAAGACUGGGAUAACUUCGGGAAACCGGAGCUAAUACCGGAUAAUAUUUUGAACCGCAUGGUUCAAAAGUGAAAGACGGUCUUGCUGUCACUUAUAGAUGGAUCCGCGCUGCAUUAGCUAGUUGGUAAGGUAACGGCUUACCAAGGCAACGAUGCAUAGCCGACCUGAGAGGGUGAUCGGCCACACUGGAACUGAGACACGGUCCAGACUCCUACGGGAGGCAGCAGUAGGGAAUCUUCCGCAAUGGGCGAAAGCCUGACGGAGCAACGCCGCGUGAGUGAUGAAGGUCUUCGGAUCGUAAAACUCUGUUAUUAGGGAAGAACAUAUGUGUAAGUAACUGUGCACAUCUUGACGGUACCUAAUCAGAAAGCCACGGCUAACUACGUG
rnacentral:rRNA from 1 species